rnacentral:sRNA from 1 species
AAACUGACCCGCCGCGAACAACGCGCCCGGGCCCAACAUUUUAUCGACACCCUGGAAGGCACCGCCUUUCCCAACUCAAAACGCAUUUAUAUCACUGGCACACACCCCGGCGUGCGCGUGCCGAUGCGUGAGAUCCAGCUUAGCCCGACGCUAAUUGGCGG